GCCGUGGCUCAGUGGCUCAGCGCCAGCUCUGCAGGCAGAAGGUCCCAGGGUUCAAACCCUGGCAUCUCCC